UACGUAGGGGGCUAGCGUUGUCCGGAAUCAUUGGGCGUAAAGAGCGUGUAGGCGGUCCGGUAAGUCGGCUGUGAAAGUCCAGGGCUCAACCCUGGGAUGCCGGUCGAUACUGCCGGACUAGAGUUCGGAAGAGGCGAGUGGAAUUCCCCGGUGUAGCGGUGAAAUGCGCAGAGUAUCGGGAGGAACACCUAUGGCGAAGGCAGCUCGCUGGGACGUUACUGACGCUGGAGACGCGAAAGCGUGGGGAGCAAACAGG
rnacentral:rRNA from 1 species